UACAGAGGGGGCAAGCGUUGUUCGGAAUUACUGGGCGUAAAGGGCGCGUAGGCGGCCCGCUAAGUCGAACGUGAAAUCCCCGGGUCUCAACCUGGGAACUGCAUCCGAGACUGCAUUGCUAGAGUAUGGGAGAGGAAAGCGGAAUUUCUGGUGUAGCAGUGAAAUGCGUAGAUAUCAGAAGGAACAUCAGUGGCGAAGGCGGCUUUUUUGGUCUGUAACUGACGCUGAGGCGCGAAAGCGUGGGGAGCAAACAGGG
rnacentral:rRNA from 1 species